UACGUAGGGGGCAAGCGUUGUCCGGAUUUAUUGGGCGUAAAGCGCGUGUAGGCGGUCCGGUAAGUCCGCUGUGAAAGUCGGGGGCUCAACCCUCGGAUGCCGGUGGAUACUGUCGGGCUUGAGUACGGAAGAGGCGAGUGGAAUUCCGUGGUGUAGCGGUGAAAUGCGCAGAUAUCAGGAGGAACACCAAUUGCGAAGGCAGCACUCUGGGACGUGACUGACGCUGAGACGCGAAAGCGUGGGGAGCAAACAGG
rnacentral:rRNA from 1 species